rnacentral:tRNA from 1 species
CGGGGCAUGGCGCAGCUUGGUAGCGCGUCUGGUUUGGGACCAGAAGGUCGUCGGUUCGAAUCCGGCUGCCCCGA